UUUUUUUUUGAUAUUACAUAUACUAGAAUUGGAAUGAAACAGAAGAUUUUAGCCUGAUCUUUGCAGAAGCCUGACAUUCAAAUUUCUGAAGCGUUCCACAUUUUU